rnacentral:lncRNA from 1 species
GCAAAGAUCUCAGCAACCCUAAGAAACGUUUCUUCUACUUUAUAAGCUCCACUGAAUUAUUAGUAAGGAGGACUGUAUCUCGGAUAAUCAGCGGUUGUGAUGUUUCCUUUUCAACACGGUGAUGAGCUGGUUUUCCAGCCCCCUUCUGUUAUCAGAGAAGAUCAAAUCCAGGAAGAUCUGAAUACGGAUCAUACUUUACAGUAUAAUAAUCCUAGUUCUAGCAGUUGGGAAAAGGGGCCGCAGAGAUCAUUAGGUAUUCAAGAAAAUAAUGGAAGAAACACUUUUUACGAAUCUAAUAUUAAGAAACUUAUACAUAGAGAUAUUGAACGGCAGAGAAGAAA